rnacentral:rRNA from 1 species
GCAGUCGAGCGGACAGAAGGGAGCUUGCUCCCGGAUGUUAGCGGCGGACGGGUGAGUAACACGUGGGUAACCUGCCUGUAAGACUGGGAUAACUCCGGGAAACCGGAGCUAAUACCGGAUAGUUCCUUGAACCGCAUGGUUCAAGGAUGAAAGACGGUUUCGGCUGUCACUUACAGAUGGACCCGCGGCGCAUUAGCUAGUUGGUGGGGUAAUGGCUCACCAAGGCGACGAUGCGUAGCCGACCUGAGAGGGUGAUCGGCCACACUGGGACUGAGACACGGCCCAGACUCAUACGGGAGGCAGCAGUAGGGAAUCUUCCGCAAUGGACGAAAGUCUGACGGAGCAACGCCGCGUGAGUGAUGAAGGUUUUCGGAUCGUAAAGCUCUGUUGUUAGGGAAGAACAAGUGCGAGAGUAACUGCUCGCACCUUGACGGUACCUAACCAGAAAGCCACGGCUAACUACGUGCCAGCAGCCGCGGUAAUACGUAGGUGGCAAGCGUUGUCCGGAAUUAUUGGGCGUAAAGGGCUCGCAGGCGGUUUCUUAAGUCUGAUGUGAAAGCCCCCGGCUCAACCGGGGAGGGUCAUUGGAAACUGGGAAACUUGAGUGCAGAAGAGGAGAGUGGAAUUCCACGUGUAGCGGUGAAAUGCGUAGAGAUGUGGAGGAACACCAGUGGCGAAGGCGACUCUCUGGUCUGUAACUGACGCUGAGGAGCGAAAGCGUGGGGAGCGAACAGGAUUAGAUACCCUGGUAGUCCACGCCGUAAACGAUGAGUGCUAAGUGUUAGGGGGUUUCCGCCCCUUAGUGCUGCAGCUAACGCAUUAAGCACUCCGCCUGGGGAGUACGGUCGCAAGACUGAUACUCAAAGGAAUUGACGGGCGCCCGCACAAGCGGUGGAGCAUGUGGUUUAAUUCGAAGCAACGCGAAGAACCUUACCAGGUCUUGACAUCCUCUGACAACCCUAGAGAUAGGGCUUUCCCUUCGGGGACAGAGUGACAGGUGGUGCAUGGCUGUCGUCAGCUCGUGUCGUGAGAUGUUGGGUUAAGUCCCGCAACGAGCGCAACCCUUGAUCUUAGUUGCCAGCAUUUAGUUGGGCACUCUAAGGUGACUGCCGGUGACAAACCGGAGGAAGGGGGGAUGACGUCCAAUCAUCAUGCCCCUUAUGACCGGGGGGACCCCCGGCUUAAA